rnacentral:tRNA from 1 species
GAGGGUAUAGCUCAGUGGUAGAGUGUGUCCCUAGCAAUCAUGAGGUCCUGGGUUCAAUCCCCAGUACCUCCA